UGUUGACAUUGUGUGUGUUGUGCAUGCGAAUUCACUGUAGGUUAUUUUUCAGGUGCGCGAUGGCAUAACACACAUCACCGACUGUCGUCAGGCAGACGUGCUCUUGCGCUAAUGGGAAAGAAGUACAAGAGGCCGUUGCGUCACAGACGACGGGCGAAACUGAGGAGAGGACGGUCCAGCUGGUGGCCGGACUUCCCAGAGCGCCGCCGUGGUUCUGGGGCCCUUGAACGAAGGCGCUGAUGAGAUGGCAAGAUGAGAUGACCGCAGCCGCUCGACGCCGACGGCUCCGUCCUGGGAGGGAAGUGGUUCCAUUUCCAUCCCAGCAGUUGGUCCGUCUCACCAAAUGGAGCUCGAGUGCCUAUGAGCCACUUUCAGAGGAACUUAAAACGCUCAGAAUUUCCACCCUAAGAUGUACCGGGGCUCAGCACUGUAACGUGUACAGCUUGGGACAGACAGACUUAGAAAUACUUGUCCUCUGGAGUGGACAAAAAUGAAUGGCUGCAUCUCAACCCUAAGGAACCAGAUUUUACCAAACCACUGCAAAUUAUUUAUUCUAAUCAGAGCCAAACUGUCUCUUGGAGGCCAAUGCUGGAAUCAUACUAAAACAGCAAUUUGUAAAGUGGCCUUUGACCACAUGGUCAUCCUGAAGAUGUGCAUCUGAAUUGAACAUCUGGAAGCAUCAGUGCUCAUCAUCAAUGCAAAGCUGUACAGCUGUGGCACCGUGGCGUCACCACCAUCACUCCAGGGCCUGGUCUUUGACAGACAAACACAGUCGCAGCCCCCGGGAAGAACGCUGCUGCCGAGGCACAACCAGUGACAACGCUCUCCAAGGACACACGAUGGAAGAAGGCAAUGAAUGGGAAACCCUUCUCCGUACCCUCCACCUACCAUGAAAACCGACCAAACAAAAGGAGUCAUCGCACCAUCAAUCUGAGAGGAGCUCUGCAGAAGGACUGGCUCUACGUAAGAAAACAGCAUGAAGAUUAUAAACUGCUUGAACCGAAGUUAUGUCUUUUGCUGGAACGGGACCUCGUUUGUGAUUUACUGUUCGAAAAGACUUCUU